rnacentral:rRNA from 1 species
GAUGAACGCUGGCGGCGUGCCUAAAACAUGCAAGUCGAGCGGUAAGGCCCCUUCGGGGGUACACGAGCGGCGGACGGGUGAGUAACACGUGGGAAUCUACCCCAAACUGAGGGAUAAGCACCGGAAACGGUGUCUAAUACCGCAUAUGGUCUUCGGAUUAAAGCUUCGGCGGUUUGGGAAGAGCCCGCGUAAGAUUAGCUAGUUGGUGAGGUAAAGGCUUACCAAGGCGACGAUCUUUAGCUGGUUUGAGAGGAUGAUCAGCCACACUGGAACUGAGACACGGUCCAGACGCCUACGGGAGGCAGCAGUUAGGAAUUUUCCACAAUGGGCGAAAGCCUGAUGGAGCAACGCCGCGUGCAGGAUGAAUGCCUUCGGGUUGUAAACUGCUUUUAUGUGCGAAGAAUAUGACGGUAACACAUGAAUAAGGAUCGGCUAACUCCGUGCCAGCAGCCGCAGUAA